rnacentral:rRNA from 1 species
UACGGGGGGGGCAAGCGUUGUUCGGAUUUACUGGGCGUAAAGGGCGCGUAGGCGGUCAGCACAAGUCAGUUGUGAAAUCUCCGGGCUUAACUCGGAAAGGUCAACUGAUACUGUGCGACUAGAGUGCGGAAGGGGCAACUGGAAUUCUCGGUGUAGCGGUGAAAUGCGUAGAUAUCGAGAGGAACACCUGUGGCGAAGGCGGGUCUCUGGGCCGAUACUGACGCUGAGGAGCGAAAGCGUGGGGAGCGAACAGG